rnacentral:rRNA from 1 species
CAGUCGCCGCGGUAAUACGGAGGGUGCAAGCGUUAAUCGGAAUUACUGGGCGUAAAGCGUGCGUAGGCGGCUUUUUAAGUCGGAUGUGAAAUCCCUGAGCUUAACUUAGGAAUUGCAUUCGAUACUGGGAAGCUAGAGUAUGGGAGAGGAUGGUAGAAUUCCAGGUGUAGCGGUGAAAUGCGUAGAGAUCUGGAGGAAUACCGAUGGCGAAGGCAGCCAUCUGGCCUAAUACUGACGCUGAGGUACGAAAGCAUGGGGAGCAAACAGGAUUAGAUACCCCGUAGUCCCUGUCUCUUAUACA